rnacentral:rRNA from 1 species
GAUCAUGGCUCAGAGUGAACGCUGGCGGCAGGCCUAAUACAUGCAAGUCGAACGGCAGCACAGCAGAGCUUGCUCUGUGGGUGGCGAGUGGCGGACGGGUGAGGAAUACAUGGGAAUCUGCCCAGUCGUGGGGGAUAACGUAGGGAAACUUACGCUAAUACCGCAUGCGCCCUUCGGGGGAAAGCCGGGGGACCUUCGGGCCUGGCGCGAUUGGAUGAGCCCAUGUCGGAUUAGCUAGUUGGCGGGGUAAUGGCCCACCAAGGCGACGAUCCGUAGCUGGUCUGAGAGGAUGAUCAGCCACACUGGAACUGAGACACGGUCCAGACUCCUACGGGAGGCAGCAGUAGGGAAUAUUGGACAAUGGGCGCAAGCCUGAUCCAGCCAUGCCGCGUGAGUGAAGAAGGCCCUCGGGUUGUAAAGCUCUUUUGUCCGGAAAGAAAAGCGCCGGGUUAAUACCCUGGUGUCCUGACGGUACCGGAAGAAUAAGCACCGGCUAACUUCGUG